UAUUACAGGUACGGGCUCUGAGAGGAGGGGCCCGGAGAUGGGUACUGAGACACGGACCCAGGCCCUAUGGGGCGCAGCAGGCGAGAAACCUUUGCAAUGUGCGAAAGCACGACAAGGUUAAUCCGAGUGUCUCCUGCUAAAGGAGUCUUUUGUCAGUUGUAGAAUCACUGGUGAAUAAGGGGUGGGCAAGUUCUGGUGUCAGCCGCCGCGGUAAAACCAGCACCUCGAGUGGUCAGGAGGUUUAUUGGGCCUAAAGCAUCCGUAGCCGGUUGCAUAAGUUUUCGGUUAAAUCUAUGCGCUUAACGUAUAGGCCGCCGAAAAUACUGUGCAGCUAGGGAGUGGGAGAGGUACACGGUACUCGAUAGGAAGGGGUAAAAUCCUUUGAUCUAUUGAAGACCACCUGUGGCGAAGGCGGUGUACCAGAACACGUUCGACGGUGAGGGAUGAAAGCUGGGGGAGCAAACCGGAUUAGAUACCCGGGUAGUCCCAGCUGUAAACGAUGCAGACUCGGUGAUGCAUUGGCUUGUGGCCAAUGCAGUGCCGCAGGGAAGCCGUUAAGUCUGCCGCCUGGGAAGUACGUACGCAAGUAUGAAACUUAAAGGAAUUGGCGGGGGAGCACCACAAGGGAUGAGCUGCGGUUCAAUUGAUUCAACGUCAGA
rnacentral:rRNA from 1 species